UUUCCUGCAACCAUCUAUGCGACCACAUAGAUGGUUACACUAUGCGGUCGCAUAGAUAUAACCAACUAUGUAGUCCUUACAUUUUGGUCCCUGAACUUUCCUUGUUGCUUCUCUUGACUUCUUUCUUCGAUUUCUUCAUCUUUUCAACAAAUGUUAUCCUCCAAUUGAUGAUUGACACCAUCGAAUCUCUUGCCACUCAUUCGGCUCAUCUUUUGAGUAUUUGCGCUUUAGUCCUCCAACUUUUAAUUGUCUUCAUUUCAGUCCCUCUUCGAUUCUUUCUUCCUCCACUUGUUUUGCUUUAUCCUUGAGCUCAUACUCAGCAUGUUUUUACCCUCGUUUUGCAUUUAGCUCAACUUCUCAAUAUUUGCACCUUUGGUCCUCGAACUAUCACUUUGUUGAGUUUUGGUCCUUCUUCGGCUCUUUUCUCUUGAAUUCCACAAUUUCCAUUGAAAUACCUACAUUACAUGAAUUUAAUAAGAUUAAGCCAUAAUUCAACCAUUUUAUCCAUGUUUAAGUCAUGUUUGUGAAUCAAAUAAGUGUGUAAAAACAUACUUAUCAAAUCCCCCAAACUUAAACUAUUGUUUUUCCUCAAACAAUGUGUUCCUCAAACAAUGCAGUGACUCAGAGUUAAACUAACAUGGCUUAAUAGCUUGCCGUGUCUCAGGAUUGAACUCAGCAAUACACGAGAACAAUAUCAAUAUUGCAAGAAUAAAAUUAACCUUUACUCGUCAGUUGCAAUACUCAACGUGUGUGUGUGAACUCAUGCCAAGCGCCGAUGAUUCCAGCCUUCUGUAGCAAGAGAAUCAGUAACCUGGUUGCCUUCUCUGUUGAUGUGUGAAACCGUGUCUCUAUCGAAGUAGAUGAGGUCUCUGAUCUGUCUAAGAAUACCCUGAAUCGACCAUGGUCCUCCACCUUUGGUAAUGCAGUGAAUAGCCAAUGUUGAAUCUGCCUCGAGCCAGAUAGCUGAAAUCCCAAGUCCUCUGGCCAAUAGAAGCCCAUCUAGUAUGGCUCUGAGUUCAGCCUCCAAAAUGAAACAUGGGCCAUACGAUGCUGAGAAUGCCCUGAUACAGUAUCCUGUGUGGUCCCUAAUGAUGCCUCCACCACUUGCAAAUCCAUCUUUGACGCAUCGUAUGUGUGUGUGUGAACUCAUGCCAACAUAUCAAGCUUAUGAAUGGUUUAUUCCCGACCCAUAGUGGUCAAAUUUAUCCUUGCAUCACUCGAGAGAUACACAACCCCCCAAACUUAUUCUUUUCACUCUAUUAUCUCGGGGUAUGUUCUAAGAUUGGGAGUUUAACAACUAUAAUCCUUACCCUCUCUUAGUUUGGAUAUAUUUUACCCUUACAAGUACACAUAUCAACAAGUAGAGACUCUCUUUAAUUUGAUUGUUUCAACCUUUAGGCUCAAACUAAGCUACUUACCUCGCAUCAAGGUUAAAGUUAUAUCAACCAAAUGUCCAACAAGGGCCCUUUUUUUUCUCAUCUUCUCAUUUGCUUUCUAUAUAACCCGUGUAACGAGUUUUAGGCGAUGACUCCUAAACCAGUUGGUCUUAGGGCACCAGGUUUUAAACCCUUGUAGCCUUAUUCACCCGAGUUAUAAAGGCUCGAUAAGAUGAAUUUUUGUCAACUUCUCCUUUUUCUUGCUUUCUAUAUGACCCCUGUAACGAGCUUUAGGCCGAUAAUUCCCAAACCAGUUGGCUUUAGGAUAUCAGGUUUUAAACCCUAACAGACUUGCUCGAGUCAUAAAGGCUUUUGAGAGAAGUGAUGAUUUUCCCAUGUUUAUUUUAUGCCCUUUACUUAUUUUUUCUAGACAUUUGAUCUCAACAACCGUCCUCAACUUAAAGCUUUCACCUAUUUCUCACCUUCUGGGUCUAGGCAAUCCACACAAUAUAAUUUCAUGCACUAAGCCCCUACUUAGCUCCAUGUUUCCCUAUAGUGGCUCAACCAUCUCCAAACUAUCUUAAGGUGGUUUAACGGGUUAAUGUUAUAGAGGGUUAACCUAGGUUUCUCAUAUUUUACUCCAACAAUCCCAAUCAAUAACUUAACAUGAAGACAUGAGUGGCGUGCAAAAGAAUGUCAAGCAUUGCAUCAAUAAGUAUUCGCUAAUUAAAUCCUGUACUAUAUCCACAGUUCUAGUUUACACCUGUCCAAUAAUCACAUCAUAGCCGGCAAGGCUACCAAACCCACACAAGCAUGCAAAAGUAAAAUCAACACUCAUUCAUCACGCAUGCAUCAUGCAGAAUGUAGUCAAAUUAAUGAUUGAUUGUGAAAAUGCAUAUUAAUUACAUGCCGAAUAUUUGUUUGAAAAUUAUGCUACCAUCCCCCAAACUUAUACAGUACAUUGUCCUCAAUGUAAAUGUAAAGUUAGAAAAGCAUAAUUUAAAAAUAUAUUCACAACUUGGCAAAUAGAGGUAAACAACACUCCCCUGAUCAAAGUGGUGGUUGUGGUGUGUAGCUGGGACCCGCCGCAUGAUCUUCAGGAGAAGAUGGAAGGCAAGAUAGGAUUUGUCUCAUCAACUCGGUCUGUUGUGCUUGCUCGGCCUGAAUGGAUUGAAGCCUAUUCUCCAUACUUCCCAAUCGAUCCCAGGUUUCGUUCACUCGCCACUGUAUGCCAUCCAUUCUCUCAGCAUAUAUGUUGAACCUACCAUUCAUGGUCUCCACUUCCCUUUGUGUCGCUGUGGCUUCAUUCAAAGCACCCCUUGUGUAGUCUCGGGAAGAGUAGAGGUCUCUCUGCACUUUGUCAACAGUGGUAGCCAUGGUCUCGAAACUCUGCUGGAGAUGUUGUAUGUCCCGGCUAGUUCUAGUGGUGGUGGCAAAUAUCUGCCUCAAUACCUAAUUGUCCAUAUCAACCUAGGGUGGUGGUGGAGGAAUUUGAGGCAUAUCAAGGUCUGCAUCUGCUUGACCUUCCUCAUUCAAUUGCUGUCGUCGUCGUGCGUUUUCUAAUUUCUGUUGGUGCUUCAGUCUCGCUCGGUCUUGGGCCUCUAGUGUGGAUCGCUUGAUAAAGGCGCUUGGCUUUUUCGGUGCUUCCCCAGGUUGAAUUUGUAUGCUUGCUGUUCGACAUAUUCCACUUAUUAGACUGGGAAAAAUCAGAGAGUAGUGCCUAUCACCCCAAGUGCCUGUACCCUGGAUUUGGUUGUAGAUGUGUGUGGCUAGAUCAAUCUUGUUUCCUCUAACCAAAUGGUAUAUGAAUCUGGCCUUUGGAUUUGUAAAUGUUGUUCUGUGGGAUAUAGGCUCGAUGUUGUGGCACAUGAAUAACCAUAAAAUUGCUAUGGAUGGGGUGAGAUCUAUCUGAUACCAGUCUGCUGUAGGUAGAGGCCAAGCGUUUUCACGUCCCAACAAAAUUUCAGCAACCUCAUUCCAGUUGAAGUCUUCUGGGAUAGGGACGACAUUAUUCCAGGAUAAAUGAUAGUAGUCAUGAAUUACCUCUGGUGAGAACAUAAUCCACUUGCCCCUAACCCAUGUCUGAUGUAAGUGUUCCGAUCUGGGAGUGUCGAUUUCUGUGUUGAAAUUUGCAUAAAACUCCUUUGCUAGAUUCUCAUACACCUGAUGAGGUCUUUCUAUCACCUUUUCCAAGCCACAGUUGUGAAUCAGAUAUGCUAUUUCAAAGUUGGGAAAAUCUUCCAGCUUAACUGGCCUCUCGGGAAUGAUUGCCCAAUCACGCACAACAUUGGCGUAGCAGGCUGCUGUAUCUGAAGAAAGGAAUCUUCUAACACCCCCUUUGGGUUCUCUUGUUCGGGCUGUUCCAGAUGAGGAGCCGACUUUCUCUUUUCCCUUUGAAGUUCUUUUAGGAGGCAUCCUGCAAAAGGAAGUACACAAUAUCAAUCACUUGGUGUAGGAAUAAUGGGCAUUAAUAAUCUUUGAAUUCAUAAUCCCCCAAACUUUCUUCAACAUGCACAUGUACGUGUGCUUAUGCAAUUUUUCAGAACAUGAAUCACCAAUAUAACUCUAACAUUGCAUAAGUAUGGAAAACUCAAAAUUAUGGCUCGAACAUGCAUUUUUAGAAAAUUUGACCCAUGACCAAGUGACCAACUUCGGCCCCGGGCAUCACCGAGAAAUAUCGAAACUUUCCCGGGCAAGUUUUGGACAUGUGAAAGUACUCAAUGACAUCUAGCAUAUAUCCAAAUUUCACCUUAAUCGGAGGUCGUUUGCAUAAGAAAACAUUGAGACGAAGGUAGUGACGUGAGUGAAUAUGAUUAGCCAUGAAGUGCCUUUGUGAAUUCAAAUGUUGAGGUAGCAUUUUUUCAAAUGAAAGUUCAAAUGAUUGUUCAGCCAAUAAGCUACACAAUAACGAUGUAAACUAUCGCAUAAGUGAAAAGUCCAAGAAUUCAAAACAUUCGUCAAUGUGGCAUAUCGUCGAACAUGUGGUGUGAAAUGUGGAUUUCUUCCUAUUUCUUCUAAAACACUACCAUGAAAUUUUCCCCAAUUCUCAACCUCAUAUCUAUCUACCUUAUACCUUCUAACUAAUUCCAACACAUUGAAUGAAAAAUGUGAAAAAGAAGCUCGAAAUUAUGGGAUUAGAGGAACAUACCUUACUUGGCCAAAUACUUGUUAAUUUAGAUGUGGCAUCUCAAUGUAGAAUCCAAUCUAAUUGAAUGAAGAGUGUGUGAAAUGGGUGUAAGUGUGUGGUAUGCAAAUGUGAAGUGUGAAAAUGAGUGCAAGUGAAGAGGAUGGGUGCUCGUGUGGAAGUGAUUUCGUGUGUGAGUGAGAGGGGAGGGAGUGUUGAAUGAGGGGGGAAAUGGGUGUGGUCACGGGUCACGGGUUAAAACCCGUGACCACAGCACUAUGCGACCGCAUAGUGCUGCACUAUGCGGUCGCAUAGUGCAACUAAUUUCCCCCUUUUCUCUUUCGGUUACGAUCUAUGCGGCCGCAUAGACCAAACCGGGUUUAUGAAUUUUUUUUUUAAAACAUGACUUAAAAUUUAAACUUCCCCAAAAUCGGUUUUUCACUUAAAAAUUUAACUCGCCUCGCUAUAUUCCUGGAAAAAUUGAAAAUUUUGACUCGAAAAGAGGAAUAUACUUAUCGAAAACUUGGCACCAAAACCGAUUUUUCAUACAUGUUGUCCCGCAUUCUAAAAACUUAACCAAAAUGAACAUCUUCGCACAUCGGAAUGCAUGACACACACUCGAACACCCAAACACUUCAUUUAGCACCCAUUCAAGUAACAUUAAACGUGUAGUGCCUAGGCUAUCAUGCAAACUAUGAUCGAUGACCUACGAAACAAACUAAACUCAAACAAAUUCCUAAACUAAUGCAGUGCAAUAAAAUAAAUUUAAGGAUACAGUGGGUUGCCUCCCACUCAGCGCUAGGUUAUAGUCAAUAGCUCGACUUUACCGUAUUGUGUUAUUCUGGCGAUCUAAGAUGGACGGUAGACUUGUCCUUUGAGAAAUCACCGCCCCAAUAGUGCUUCAAACGCUGUCCAUUAACUUUGAAUGUCCCCUUGCUGUCGUGAGUGAUCUCAACCGCUCCAUGUGGAAACACUUGUGUAAUGGUAUAUGGACCAGACCAUCUCGAUCUCAAUUUUCCUGGAAACAGUUUAAGCCUAGAGUUGUAGAGUAGCACUUUUUGCCCCACCUUAAAGUCACGCCUCUGGAGAUGCAUGUCAUGCCAUUUCUUGGUGCGCUCUUUGUAGAUCUUUGAGUUCUCGUAGGCUUCCAUUCUGAGCUCAUCCAGUUCAUUCAGUUGUAACAGCCUUUUUUCACCCGCAGCCUUCAAAUCCAAGUUCAACUUCUUCAUUGCCCAGUAGGCGUGAUGUUCGAUCUCAAGAGGUAGGUGGCAUGCUUUCCCAAAAACCAGUCGAUAUGGUGACAUUCCUAUAGGGGUCUUGAAUGCAGUUCUGUAGGCCCACAAGGCAUCAUCCAGUUUCUUUGACCAAUCCUUUCGUGAUGAGUUGACUGUGACUUCGAGUAUUCGCUUCAAUUGCCUAUUGGAUACUUCGACCUGUCCGCUGGUUUGGGGAUGAUAUGCGGUGGCUAUACGGUGCUUAACGCCAUAUUUUGCUAACAACUGCUCAAACUGACGAUUGCAGAAAUGUGUGCCCCCGUCACUGAUUAUGGCUCUUGGUGUUCCAAACCGGGUAAAAAUGUUCUUCUUUAAAAACUCAAUCACUACUUUCCCAUCAUUAGUAGGUAGUGCAACAACCUCGACCCACUUCGAUACAUAAUCCAAAGCCACUAAUAUGUAUUGAUUUGAAAAAGAUGGUGGAAAUGGUCCCAUGAGUCGAUCCCCCAGACGUCGAAUAAUUCCACCUCUAAGAUACUAUUCAAAGGCAUCUCAUUUCUUCUAGAUAUGUUACCCGUGCGCUGACAUCGGUCACACCUUUUCACAAAUUCAAAAGCAUCUUUAAAGAGUAUAGGCCAGUAAAAACCUGAUUGAAGAAUCUUCACAGCUGUUUUCGAAGCACCAAAAUGCCCUGCAUAUAUAGAUGAGUGACAGUUUUCUAAUAUCAAAGGCACCUCUUCCUCUGGUACACAGCGACGAACAAUUUGAUCAGCCCCCCGCCUGUAGAGAAUGGGAUCUUCCAAAAAUAGUACUUCAAUUCAGCGAAGAAUUUCUUCUUCUGGUGACUUGAAUAAUCUGGCGGUAUGAUAGACCUGGCUAAAUAGUUAACUAUAUCUGCAUACCAGGGUGUUUCCAUCACACCAAAAAUCUGUUCGUCUGGGAAGAUUUCGUUUAUUUCCACUGUCUCUAUCCGUUCUGUGUCCUCAAGCCGAGAUAGGUGGUCCGUCACCACGUUUUCACUGCCUUUCUUAUCCUUAAUUUCUAAGUCAAACUCUUGAAGUAGUAAUAUCCAAUGAAUGAGACAUGGCUUAGCAUCCUUCUUUUCCAUUAAGUACCUGAUAGCGGCAUGAUCUGUGUGGACUAUGACCUUCGACCCCACAAGGUAUGAUCAAAAUUUGUCAAAUGUAUAGACUACAGCAAGAAGCUCUUUCUUCGUAGUGGCAUAAUUUAACUGAGCAUCGUUCAAAGUCUUACUUGCAUAGUAGAUCACGUGAAAUACCUUAUUCCUUCGUUGACCCAACACGGCUCCCACANNNNNNNNNNNNNNNNNNNNNNNNNNNNNNNNNNNNNNNNNNNNNNNNNNNNNNNNNNNNNNNNNNNNNNNNNNNNNNNNNNNNNNNNNNNNNNNNNNNNNNNNNNNNNNNNNNNNNNNNNNNNNNNNNNNNNNNNNNNNNNNNNNNNNNNNNNNNNNNNNNNNNNNNNNNNNNNNNNNNNNNNNNNNNNNNNNNNNNNNNNNNNNNNNNNNNNNNNNNNNNNNNNNNNNNNNNNNNNNNNNNNNNNNNNNNNNNNNNNNNNNNNNNNNNNNNNNNNNNNNNNNNNNNNNNNNNNNNNNNNNNNNNNNNNNNNNNNNNNNNNNNNNNNNNNNNNNNNNNNNNNNNNNNNNNNNNNNNNNNNNNNNNNNNNNNNNNNNNNNNNNNNNNNNNNNNNNNNNNNNNNNNNNNNNNNNNNNNNNNNNNNNNNNNNNNNNNNNNNNNNNNNNNNNNNNNNNNNNNNNNNNNNNNNNNNNNNNNNNNNNNNNNNNNNNNNNNNNNNNNNNNNNNNNNNNNNNNNNNNNNNNNNNNNNNNNNNNNNNNNNNNNNNNNNNNNNNNNNNNNNNNNNNNNNNNNNNNNNNNNNNNNNNNNNNNNNNNNNNNNNNNNNNNNNNNNNNNNNNNNNNNNNNNNNNNGCACUGAUCCAUGCACUAUCUGAUAUUGGAUAAAUAAUGCAUGUAUCGAGCAACUUCAAUACCUCAGCUUUAACCACUUCCUUCAUGUGUAGAUUCAAUCUCCGCUGCCCAUCAAUGCUUGGUUUAAAUUUUUCCUCCAUGAGUAUCUUAUACAUGCAUAUAGAUGGGCUGAUCCCCUUUAUAUCUAUAAUCGACCAUCCAAUAGCUGUUUUAUUCUCCCUUAACACCCGAAGUAGUUUCUCUUCCUCUACCUCACUGACAGUGCUUGAAAUAAUAACAGGUAGUGUAGAAGAUUCCCCCAGGUACGCAUAUCGAAGAUGUGGUGGCAGUUGUUUGAGUUCCAAUUUGGGCGGUUUCAUAAUAGAUGGCACUGAUUUUGCAGUCCUAGUUCCCAGCUCUUCAUAGUAGCGUCUGCGCAUAUAUGGCUGGUUACUUUCCAAAAACCGAGCACAUGUCUCAAUCUCACUUGAUUCAGAAUGGGUGGAUUGUGAAUGUGCAAUGCAUGCCUCGUAUGCAUCGGAAGGAUGAUGUAGCCGAAAUGUGUCUUGAACUAUUCGGUCGACUACAUCGAUCUGGAAAUAACUAUCUGACUCAGUUGGGAAUUUCAUUGCUUUGAACACGUUGAAUGAGAUUUGCUCGUCACCAAGCCUCAAUAUCAGCUGCCCCUUCUGAACAUCUACAAUCGCUCUCCCAGUGGCUAAGAAAGGUCGCCCCAAAAUGAGUGGAACAUCCUUAUCUUCUUCCAUGUCCAAGAUAAGAAAAUCAGCUGGAAAUAUGAACUUCUCCACUUUUACCAGCACGUCUUCAAUGAUUCCUCUUGGAUGUGUAAGGGAUCGAUCUGCUAAUUGCAAUGUCACUGUUGUGGCUUUUGCUUCUCCCAAGCCGAGUUUUCUGAAAACAGAAAGAGGCAUUAGAUUAAUACUUGCACCCAACUCACACAAAGCUUUAUCAAAAUGACAGUCUCCAAUAGUGCAGGGUACAGUAAAACUCCCUGGAUCUUUCAGUUUUGGAGGUAGCUUUCUCUGGAUUCUGGCGCUGCAUUCCUCAGUCAACAUUACUGUAUCGUGUUCUUCUAUCUUCCGCUUGUUGGAGAGGAUAUCCUUCAGGAAUUUUGCAUAGCUCGGCAUCUGGACAAGUGCUUCAGUAAAUGGGAUGUUGAUAUGCAGUUUCUUGAAGACUUCAAGGAACUUACUGUAUUGCUGCUCCAUUUUAUGCUUUCUCAACCUUUGUGGAAACGGAAUAGGAGGCUCAUGAGGGUUAACAGGAUUAGUAUUUUUACCCUGUGAUGUCUUGGAAUUUUUCUUAACCUCAUCUCCCAUUGUAUUGUCAUUUUGCUCUACAAUUUCUUCCUCCAAGGUUGGCGUUGAUUCCUUGCUGGCUCCCGAACUUUUUACAUGUGGUUCUGGCAGUUGUACUCGACUUCUGGUUGUUAUAGCCUUCGCAUGUUCCUUAGGGUUAAUUUCAGUAUUGCUGGGUAGGGUUCCCGGUGCUCUACCAGUCAUGGAAUUUGCCAUCUGUCCCACUUGUGUCUCCAAGUUCUUGAUUGCUGCACUUUGAUCUUGAAGAGUUGUUUCCGUCCUUCGCAUAAAUUGGUUAUUGGCUUCCAUGUACUGAUUGGUUUGUGCCAUAAAUUUCUCAAACAUAUCCUCCAAUGGUGGCUUUUUGUCUUGCUGUUGAUAUUGCCCUUGUGGUCUGUUUUGAUUCUGAUUAGCCCACGAGAAAUUUGGGUGUUUUCUCCAGCCUGGAUUGAAUGUUUUUGAAUGUGGGUUAUUCUGCUGGCGUUGACCACAUUGUGCGAAUUCUGCAUGUUCUACUCCUUGUGCUAGAAUUGGGCAACUAGUAGUACUGUGAGCUGCUCCACAUUCUUCACAACUCUGCUUCAUAACUUGCUUAGCAGUGGCGGUUUGUGAAAUGCUUUCAACCUUAUAGAAUAAGGAAUCUAUUUUCGCCCACAGUGCUGAGUAAGUAUCUACUUCAUACACCCCAGGUGCUCUCUUCUGAACUACUCGAUCUGUAGACCACAUAGCUAAAGUUGUAGCCAUCCUCUCAAACAGCUCCCAGGCUCCAUCAAUUGUUCUUGUAGAGAUAGACCCAUCAGAUGAUGCAUCCACCAUACUCUUGAAUGAUGGGAGUAAUCCAGUGUAGAAAAAUCUGAUUUGGAUCUUCUUGUCAAAGCCAUGUUGCGGGCACUUCCUUAACAUGUUCUUGAAACGGUUCCAUGCCUCUUCAAAUGAUUCUGACUCGAUCUGGUUGAAGAUUGAGAUGUCAUGCCGCAUUUUAGCUACUUUAGCUGGCGAGAAGAACUUGGUGCAGAAUUUAUGAGCUAGCUCGUUCCAAGUAGUGAUGCUUCCGACAAGGAGUGAAUCCAGCCAUUCAAGUACUUUAUCCCUCAAGGUGUGCGGGAACAAGCGCAGUCUUAUAGCAUCAUCGGAGAUACCUUGGUAUCUGAAGUGUUGACACAUAUCAAGAAAUUGAGAUAUGUGUGUAUGCGGAUUCUCACUAGCCAUCCCAUGGUAUUGAUGCCCAUUCUGAAACAGUUGAAUCACGUUUGUCUUCAAUUGGAAGUUCGGUUGCCCAAAUGGAGAAUAUACAAUACUAGAUUGACUUUGCACCACCAAUGGUGCCAUGAAAUCCCCAAGUACCGUAUUUCCAUCCUCUUCCACUGCCACACCUUCGUUGAGUGGAAUUCCCGAUCGAUUUUGCUCGUUAGCCAUUUGUUGUACCACUCUUGCUUCCCUUUGCCCGUGACGGAAUGUGCGUUCGAUCUCUGGAUCUAUAGGGACCAAGUCUUGAUCAGGUGCUCCUUGCAUAGAAGCCCUGAUAUGGCAGAAUUAACACAAAAAUUCAAUAUAAACAAUAAUAAAAUAAAUCUAAUAAAAUUAACAAGUACUAAACUAAAUAAGUUCGAAUUAGUGUCGCAAAAGAUAGAAUUAAAACUAAAAUUCAAUCCCCGGCAACGAUGCCAAAAACUUGUUCACAAAAUAUUUCUUUCAAUUUUAAAACCCACCGCAAGUGUACGGUCCGUUAACAAGUAAUAAAAUGGACUAUGAGUCUAAGUAUCAUUCCCACGAGGAUUGAAUUAGCUCUAAUUAGACUAAUGUGACCUUAACCGAAUCUAAUUGAAUGAAAAUUUGGUUUAAAUGUGAAAAUCCCUAAUUUUGGGAGAAAUCCCCAAUUUGAAACCCUAAUUUUUAAAGAAAACCCUAAUUUCGAAAUUGGAAGCCCUAAUUUCGAAAUUUCACUAAUUGAAUGACUCAAAAACUCAAUUAAAAUGUAAAUAUGCAAUUUUGGAAGUUAAUGUAUAGAAAUAAAUUAAAAUACAAUCAUUAGGAUCUCGAAUCCCCAAUUGACUAUUAAAAACCCUAAUUUCACAAAUUCAACGAAUCGAUGGAAAAAUGCCAAUUCAAUGUUCUUAAACCUAUCCAAUAUACUCUCUCAAUAUAUAUUGAAUCUACUCUUGCACACCACCAGCCUAUAUUUCUAUGGAUGAUGCAAAUAUACAAGAAUGCAUGAAUUUUUAUGAACACCUUAUGAAUUGCACAAAGCAUAGGGGUAUAUUUCUAUCUCCUAUCGAACCCUAUGUUAAUUUAUAUUAUAUCGAAUCUAUUCCCCUUCUUUGGAAUGCAAAGAAUAAAUCAACUAAACUCACAUAACAUAUGGCCAAUAAUUAUGGAAGCAAUCAAAUCAUAUAAAUCAAACAAUUGUCCAACCGAAACUUUAUAUUGAAUUUAUGAAAUAAAGGAGAUUAAAUAAUCAAAGGUUCAUCGAUUUCCUAAUGAAUAAAAACCCUAGCCUAUGAUCAUAAUUAUAGAAUCAAGAAUUAAAACGAAAUUAAAAGAUAUAAAGAAUACACCCGUAUGAUAAUCCUUCAAUUUUGUGUGUAAUCUUCAAUUCCUUCUUGAAUCCUUGUGAAAUCAAGCUCAAGAUUGUGUUUGUUGCCUUCAAAUUGAGUGUAUUUUUUCUCCCUGGUCGUUCCUGCCCUCAAUUUUAUGAUUUUGGGUAUUUAUAUCGCGUAAAAAUCAAGUAGGAAAAGAGUUUCAACGAAAACAAAAAACUGCAACGGAGGCCCCCGAAUUAUCACUAUGCGACCGCAUAGAAGGAUUCUAUGCGGUCGCAUAGACCAAUAAAUUUUCCCCCAAAAUUUCCUGCAACCAUCUAUGCGACCGCAUAGAUGGUUACACUAUGCGGUCGCAUAGAUAUAACCAACUAUUUAGUCCUUACAUUUUGGUCCCUGAACUUUCCUUGUUGCUUCUCUUGACUUCUUUCUUCGAUUUCUUCAUCUUUUCAACAAAUGUUAUCCUCCAAUUGAUGAUUGACACCAUCGAAUCUCUUGUCACUCAUUCGGCUCAUCUUUUGAGUAUUUGCGCUUUAGUCCUCCAACUUUUAACUGUCUUCAUUUCAGUCCCUCUUCGAUUCUUUCUUCCUCCACUUGUUUAGCUUUGUCCUUGAGCUCAUACUCGGCAUGUUUUUACCCUCGUUUUGCAUUUAGCUCAACUUCUCAAUAUUUUCACCUUUGGUCCUCGAACUAUCACUUUGUUGAGUUUUGGUCCUUCUUCGGCUCUUUUCUCCUGAAUUCCACAAUUUCUAUUGAAAUACCUACAUUGCAUGAAUUUAAUAAGAUUAAGCCACAAUUCAACCAUUUUAUCCAUGUUUAAGUCAUGUUUGUAAACCAAAUAAGUGUGUAAAAACAUACUUAUCAUCGAGCUGACUACUUUGGUGCAGAACUGUGGAUGGAAUAAAAUAGUGGAGCAGCCACAUCGGAGUUAUGAAUUGUUGGUGGGGAAAUUUUACGCCAACUUCAAUACAGAAAUUGACACACCAGGGUCCGACCACCUGCAUCAAACUUGGGUCCGGGGAAAAUGGAUCACAUUCUCACCCGAAGUUAUUCAAGACUACUACCAGCUCACGUGGGAAAACAUAACGCCUAUACCAGGUGACUUCAAUUGGCCUGAAGUGGCGGAGAUCUUAUUGGGGCGACAAAAUGCAUGGCCACUCCCCACUACCGAGUGGCAUCAGAUUGAGUUGACACCGUCUAUAGCAAUCCUAUGGCUGUUUAUGUGCCACAACAUUGAGCCGACCUCUCACAGGACCACAUUUACAAAUCCCACAGCUGGAUUCCUUUAUCACUUGGUGUGAGGUAAUAAGGUUGAUCUUGCCACUCUUUGUUAUGAUCAGAUACAUCAUGUGGGCACUUUGGGAGAUAGACACAACUCAAUGAUCUUUCCAAGCCUCAUCUCCGAAAUUUGCAUAGCUGCUGGUAUAAACAUUGUAUCUAGGGAAGUGGCUGCCAAAUCCAGCCCCACCAUAAAGCGCAGUACCUUGGAGGCCAAAGACAGAGCCAGGUUAAAGCACUGGGAGAAGCAAGAAAUUGAAAGGCGCAGACAGCAGGAGGAGCUAGGUCACGAGCAAGUAGAGCAAGAGAUGCCUCAAGCUCCUCCAUCACAGGCUGAGUUAAAUGCACAGUUGUGGCGCCAGAUUUUCACCACCACCACGGGGACCAGUCAGACGUGCAGAGUCUCCAGCAGGCUAUGGGGACUUUGACGAUUGAGAUGCAUACAACCCACCGUGACAUCCGUAUUUCCACUGAUAUGUCACGUGCUGCUCGCCAGGAUGCCCAGGCAGCUAGGAGGGAGAUGGACACUAUGAACGGUCGACUCAGUGUGUAUGUGGGCAGGGUGGAUGGCUUCCAGAUGAGGGUAAAUGAAACUUGGGAGCGUUUGGGCCAUUUGGAGACACGUGUUGAGGGAAUCCACGAUGAAAUGACACAGCAGUCAGCCCUGAUGAGAGAGAUCUUGGCGCGCCUACCUCCACCUCUAGCUGAUGAUACUGCAGGAUCUAGCUUACCAUCGUAGCUCUCGUAUUGAUAAGGGGAGUAUCGUUUGCCUCAUUUGUAUUCAUUUUCCUUAAAUUCUGCCUUCUAAACUUAUUUUUCACAUUGUGGACAAUGUCUUGUAUAAGUUUGGGGGAUGGUGGCAUAAUUUAAUUAAGACAUUCGGCAUGUAACUAAUUGCAUUUCCACAAUCUAGAUUUAUUUUGACUAAUUGCUACAUGAGAUAUACUUGUGAGUGAAUAUUGAUUAUGCUUAUGUAUGCUUGUGUGAGCUUAAUCGCCUUGCCGGCUAUGAUGUUACUAUUGGAUUGGUACAUUUCAGAACUUUGGGGUCGGUGUUAAUUAGGCUAACUAAUACUUGUUGAUGCAAUACUUGACAUUCUUUAUGCACGUCAUUCAUGCUUGACAUGUUAGGUAAGUGAUUGGGAUUUUGAGCAUAAAGUAGAGAGAUAAUUAUAACCCUCUAUUGAAUUAACCCGUAAACUACCUUAAGAUAGGUUGGUGAUAGUUGAGCUAUUAUAGGAGAACAUUGAAAUGAGUGAGGCUCCGUGAAUGAAUUAUUGUGUAGAUUGCCUAGACUAGUGGGAUGAAGAGUAGGUGAAAGUCUUAAAUUGAGGGUUGGUUUUAGAUACCAGAUGUCUAGAAAAAUAAGGGCAUAAACUUAAUUUGUGAGAAUAAGACACUUCUUUUUCAGCCUUUAUGACUCGAGCAAGUAAGCCUGUAAGGAUAUUUCAAAAUCUGGUGCCCUAAGGUCAACUGAUCUGGGAGUCACCGGCCUAAAGCUCGAUACAUGGGUCAUAUAGAAAGCAAGAAGUAAAGAAGUUAAUAAAAAGUCAUCUGAUCGAGCCUUUAUAACUCGGGUGAAUAAGCCUGCAAGGGUUUAAAACCUGGUGCCCUAAAACCAACUGGUUUGGGAGUCACCGGCCUAAAGCUCGUUACAUAGGUUAUAUAGAAAGCAAAUGAGAAGAUGAUAUAUAAAAAAAAACCAUAGAAAAGUGAGAAAAACAAAAGGAGACAAUAACAAGAAGAAAAGCCCUUGGACAAUUGGUGGAAGAAACUAUACCUUUGAGGCGAGGCAAGUAACCUAGUUUAGUCUUGAGUGUCGAAGCAAUCAAAACUAGGAGAGCCUUGACUUGUUGACGUGUGAACUUGUGAUAGUGAAAUUAAUCCGAACUACGAGAUGGUGAGAACUAAAGCUAGGUAAACUCAUAAUUUUUAAACACAACCCCAGGAUAAUUGAGUGAAAAGAAUAAGUUUGGGGGGUUGUGUAUCUCUCAAGCGAGUAAGGAGACAGUUGACCACUUGGGGUCGGGACUCAAACUCAUCAUGAACUUGAUAUGUUAGCAUGAAUACACACACACACGCGUCAAGUAUGCACUUAACAGGUAAAGGUUGAUGUCAUCUUGCACUGAUAAAUUUUCAUAAAAUCAAUUACUUAGUCCAAUCCUGAGCCAAGGAAAGGUGUUAAGCCAUGUUUGUUCAGAAUUAUAUGACUAUCUUGUUUGAGGACAAACAAUAGUUCAAGUUUGGGGGGUUGUCAAAAAUCAGUGUACAAAUAGAUAAUUUCAAUCGGUAGGAACCUUGCUACAUGUACACUAUGGUGUAUACUUUAGUUUACACUUUGUAACGUGAUGUUACCCUAUUGGACAGUUUAAAUUUUAAACAGUUUUCCCUUCCAAUUGACACUAGACAACAAUGCAAGUGUCAAACAACGUGUCAAAAUCUGUGUACAAAUAGUAAAUUUCAAUCGGCAAGGACCUUGCUACACUACACUAUGGUGCACACUUUAGUUUACACUUUGCCACGUGACAUUACCCUGAUGGACAGUUUAAAUUUCAAACAAUUUUCCCAUUCAAUUGACACCGGACAACAAUGCAAGUGUAAAACAACAUGUAAAAAAUUAGUGUACAAAUAGCAACGUUCAAUCGGUAAGGACCUAGCUACAUGUACACUAUGGUGUACACUUUUGUUUACACUUUGCCACGUGACAUUACCCUAUUAGACAAUAUAAAUUUCAAACAAUUUUCUUAUCCAAUUGACACUUGACAACAACACUUGACAACAAUGCAAGUACCAAACAACAUGUCAAAAAUCAGUGUACAAAUAGCAAAGUUCAAUCGGUAAGAACCUUGCUACAUGUACACUAUGGUGUACACUUUAGUAUACACUUUGCCACGUGACAUUACCCUGUUGGACAUUUUAAAGGUCGAACAAUUUUCCCAUCCAGUUGACACUAGACAAUAAUGCAUGUGUCAAACAACGUGGCCAAACUCUGUGUACAAAUAGCAAAUUUCAAUCGGUAAGGACCUUGCCACAUUACACUAUGGUCUACACUUUAGUUUUUACUUUGCCACGUGACAUUAGUCUGUUGGACAGUUUAAAUUUCAAACAGUUUUUCCAUCCAAUUAACACUUGACAACAAUGCAAGUGUUAAAUAACACUCAACAAUUAACGUACAAAAUAGCAAGGUUCACUCUGCAUGAACCAUGCAACAAGUACACUAUGGUGUAUACUUUAGUUUACACUUUACCACGUGACAUUACCCUACUGGACAAUUUAAAUUUUAGACAAUUUUCCCAUCCAAUUGACACUUGACAACAAUGCAAGUAUCAAACAACGUGUCAAAAAUCGGUGUACAAAUAGCAAAGUUCAAUCGGUAAGGACCUUGCUACAUGUACACUAUUGUGUACACUUUAAUUUGAACUUUGCCACGUGACUUUACCACGUUAAAUAGUAUAAAUUUUAAAUAAUUUUCCCAUCCAAUUAACACUUCAAAAUAAUGUAAGUUUCAAACAACGUGCCAAAAAACAUUGUACAAAUAGUAAAGUUCAAUCAGUAAGAACCUUACUAUAUGUACAUUACGGUGUACACUUUAAUUUACCCUUUGCAAGGGGACAUUACCCUGUUGGAAAAUUUAAAUUUCAAAUAGUUUUUUCAUCCAAUUGACACUUAACUACAAUGCAUGUGUCAAACAACGUGUCAAAAAUCAGUGUACAAAGAGUAAUGUUCAAUUGGUAAGGACCUAGCAACAUGUGCACUACGGUGUACACUUUCGUUUACACUUUCACACGUGUCAUUACCCUGUUAGAUAGUAUAAAUUUAGAACAGUUUUCCCACCCAAUUGACAUUUGACAACAAUGUAAAUAUCAAACAGCGUGUCAAAAAUAAGUGUACAAAUAGCAAAUUUGAAUCGGUAAGAACCUUGCUACCUGCACUCUAUGGUGGUUUACACUUUGUCACGUGACAUUACCUUGUUGUGGACAGUUUAAAUUUCAAAUAGUUUUUCCAUCCAAUUGAUACUUGACAACAAUGCAAGUGCCAAACAAUGUGUCAAAAAUCGGUGUACAAAUAGCAAAGUUUAAUCGUUAAGGACUGGCUAUAUGUAUACUAUUGUGUACACUUUAGUUUGCACUUUCCCACGUGACUUUACUACAUUAGCUAGUAUAAAUUUCACACAAUUUUCUCAUCCAAUUGACUCUUCACAAUAAUGCAAGUGUCAAACAACGUGUCAAAAAUCAGCCUAAAAAUAGCAAAGUUCACUCUGUAUGAACCAUGCUACAUGUACACUAUGGUGUACACUUUAGUUUUCACAUUGCCGCGUGACAUUACCCUGCUAGACAAUUUGAAUUUCAAAUAGUUUUCCCAUCCAAUUGACACUUGACAACAAUGCAAGUGUCAAAUAACAUGUCAAAAAUCAGUGUACAAAUAGUAAAGUUCAAUCGGUAAGAGCCCUGCUACAUGUACACUAUGGUGUACACUUUGGAUUACACAUUGCCACGUGACAUUACCUAGUUGGAAAGCCCAAAUUUCAAAGAGUUUUUCCAUCCUAUUGACACUUAACAACAAUGCAAGUGUCAAACAACGUGUCAAAAAUCGGUGUACAAAUAGCAAAGUUCAAUCGGUAAGAACCAUGCCACAUGUACACUAUGGUGUACAUUUUAGUUUACACUUUGCCACGUGACAUUACCUUGUUAGACCGUUUAAACUUCAAAUAGUUUUCCCAUCCAAUUGACACUUAACAAAAAUGCAAGUGUCAAAUAACGUGUCAAAAAUCAAUGUACAAAUAGCAAAUUCAAUCGGUAAGAACCUUGCUACAUGUACACUAUGGUGUACACUUUAGUUUACACAUUACCACGUGACAUUACCCUGUUGUGGACAGUUUAAAUUUCAAACAGUUUUCCCGUCUAAUUGAUACUUGACAACAAUGCAAGUGUGAUAAAACGUGGCAAAAAUCUGUGCACAAAUAGUAAAGUUCAAUCAGUAAGAACUGUGCUACAUGUACACAAUGGUGUACACUCUAGUUUACACUUCGCUACGUGGCAUUACCCUUUUGGACAGUUUAAAUUUCAAACAAUUUUCCCGUCCAAUUGACACUUGACAAUAAUGCGAGUGUAAAACAACGUGUCAAUGAUCAGCAUUCAAAUAGCAAACUUCAAUCGGUAAAAACAUUGCUACAUGUACACUAUGGUGUACACUUUAGUUUACACUUUGUCACGUGACAUUACCUUGUUGUCGACAUUUUAAAUUUCACACAGUUUGCCCAUCCAAUUGAAAAUUGUCAACAAUGCAAGUGUCAAACAACGUUGUAAAAAUCGUUGUACCAAAAUUAAAGUUCAAUUGGUAAGGACCUUGCUACGUGUACACUAUUGUGUACACUUUAGUUUGCACUUUCCCACAUGACUUUACCACGUUUGAUAGUAUAAAUUUCAAACAGUUUUCCCAUCCAUUUGACACUUGACAACAAUGCAAGUGUCAAACAACGUGUCAGAAAUCGGUGUACAAAUAGCAAAGUUCAAUCGAUAAGAUCCUUGCUAUAUGUACACUAUGGUGUACCCUUUAGUUUGCACUUUACCACGUGACAUUACCAAGUUAGACAGUAUAAAUGUCAAACAGUUUUCCCAUCUAAUUGACACUUCACAAUAAUGCAAGUGUCAAACAACGUGUCAAAAAUCAGUGUAUAAAUAGCAAAGUUUACUCUGUAUGAACCAUGCUACAUGUACACCAUGGUGUACACUUUAGUUUACACAUUGCCAUAUGACAUUACCCUGCUGGACAGUUUAAAUUUCAAACAAUUUUUCCAUCCAUUUGACACUUGACAACAAUGAAAGUGUCAAACAAUGUGUGAAAGAUCAGUGUACAAAUAGCAAAGUUCAAUUGAUAAGAACAUUGCUACAUGUACACUAUAGUGUACAAUUUAGUUUACAAUUUGCCACGUGAUAUUACCCUGUUGUCGACAGUUUAAAUUUCAAACAGUUUUCCCAUCCAAUUGACUAUUGACAACAAUGAAAGUGUCAAACAACCUGGCAAAAUCGGUGUACAAAAAGUAAAGUUCAAUCGAUAAGGACCUUGCUACAUGUACACUAUUGUGUACACUUUGGUUUGCACUUUACCAUGUGACUUUACCACAUUAGACAGUAUAAAUUUCAAAUAGUUUUCCCAUCCAUUUGACACUUGACAACAAUGCAAGUGUCAAACAACGUGUCAAAAAUCGGUGUACAAAUAGAAAAGUUCAAUCGGUAAGGUCCUUGCCACAUGUACACUUUAGUUUGCACUUUGCAACGUGACAUUCCCACGUUAGAUAGUAUAAAUUUGAAACAGCCUUACCAUCCAAUUGACACUUCAAAAAUAAUGCGAGUGUUAAACAACGUGUCAAAAAUCAGUGUACAAAUAGCAAAGUUCACUCUGUAUAAACCAUGCUAUAUGUACACUAUGGUGUACACUUUUAGUUUACACAUUGCCAUGUGACAUUACCCUACUAGACAGUUUAAAUUUCAAACAAUUUUCUCAUCCAAUUGACACUUGACAACAAUGCAAGUGUUAAAGAACGUGUCAAAAAUCAGUUACAAAUAGCAAAGUUCAAUCGGUAAAGACCUUCCUACUUGUACACUAUUGUGUACACUUUAGUUUGCACUUUGCCACGUGACUCUUUCACUUUAGACAGUAUAAAUUUCAAACAGUUUUUCCAUCCAAUUAACACAUCACAAUAAUGCAAGUGUCAAAUAACAUGUCAAAAAUCGGUGUACAAAUAGCAAAGUUCAAUCAGUAAGAACCUUGCUAUAUGUACACUACGGUGUACACUUUAAUUUACCCUUUGCCCCGUGACAUUACUAUGUUGGACAAUUUAUAUUUUAAAUAGUUUUUCCAUCCAAUUGACACUUGACUACAAUGCAAGUGUCAAACAACGUGUGAAAAAUUAGUGUACAAAUAGCAAUGUUCAAUCGGUAAGGACCUAGCUACAUGUACACUAUGGUCUACGCUUUCGUUCACACUUUAACACAUGUCAUUAUCCUGUUAGACAAUAUAAAUUUAGUAAAGUUUUCCUACCCAAUUGACAUUUCACAACAAUAUAAGUGUCAAACAACGUGUCAAAAAUCGGUGUACAAAUAACAAAUUUAAAUCGGUAAGAACCUUGCUACAUGUACUCUAUGGUGUACACUUUAGUUUACAAUUUGCCAUGUGACAUUACCCUGUUGUGAACAGUUUAAAUUUCAAACAGUUUUCCAUCCAAUUGACAACAAUGCAAGUGUCAAAGAACGUGGCAAAAAUCGUUGUGCAAAUAGCAAAGUUCAAUCGGAAAGGACCUUGCUGCAUGUACACUAUUGUGUACACUUUAGUUUGCACUUUGCCACGAGACUUUACAACGUUAGACAGUAUAAAUUUCAAAUAGUUUUUCCAUCCAUUUGACACUUGACAAUAAUGCAAGUGUCAAACAACGUGUCAGUAAUCGGUAUACAAAUAGCAAAUUUCAAUCGGAAAAAACAUUGCUACAUGUACUCUAUGGUGUACAUGUUAGUUUACACUUUGCCACGUGACAUUACCCAGCCGGACGGUUUAAAUUUCAAACUAUUUUCCCAUCCAAUUGACACUAGACAACAAUGCAAGUGUCAAAAAAUGUGUGCAAAAUCUGUGUACAAAUAGCAAAGUUCAAUCGGUAAGAACCUUGCAACAUGCACACUAUGGUUUACACUUUAGUUUGUACUUUGACAGUUGACAUUACCCCAUUAGACAGUAUAAAUUUCAAAUAAUUUUCCCAACCAAUUUACACUUGACAACAUUCCAAGUGUCAAACAACGUGUCAAAAAUCAAUGUACAAAUAGCAAAGUUCAACCAGCGAGAACCUUGCUACAUGUACAUUAUGGUGUACACUUUAGUUUACCCUUUAACACGUGACAUUACACUAUUGGAUGGCUUAGAUUUCAAAUAAUUUUCCCAUCCAAUUGACACUUGACAACAUUGAAAGUGUCAAAAAACGUGUCAAAAAUCAGUGUACAAAUAGCAAAGCUCAAUCGGUAAGAAACUUGCUACAUGUACACUAUGGUGUAAACUUUAGUUUACACUUUGGCACGUGACAUUACGCUGUUGCACAGUCUAAAUUUCACACAGUUUUCCCAUCCAAUUGACACUAAACAACAAUGCAAGUGUCAAACAUUGUGUCAAAAAUAGUAUACAAAUAGCAAUGUUCAAUCGGUAAGAACCUUGCUUCUUGUACACUAUGGUGUACACUUUAGUUUACACUUUGCCACAUGACAUUACCAUGUUGGAUAAUUUAAAUUUCAAAUAGUUUUCCCAUUCAAUUGACAGUUGACAACAAUGCAAAUGUUAAACAACUUGUCAAAAAUCAAUGUACAAACAGUAAAGUUCAAUCGGUAAGAACCUUGUUACAUGUAUACUAUUAUGUACACUUUAAUUUACACUUUACCACGUGACAUUACCCUAUUGGACUGUUUAAAUUUCAAACAAUUUUCCCAUCCAAUAGACAGUUGACAACAAUGCAAAUGUCAAAUGACGUGUCAAAAAUCGGUGUACAAAUAGCAAUAUUCAAUCGGUAAGGAACUUGGCCCAUGUACACUAUGGUGUACACUUUGGUUUGCACUCUGCCACUUGAUAUUACCCCAUUAGACAGAAUAAAUUUUUAAAAAUUUUCCCAUCCAAUUAACACUUGAAAAAAUUUCAAGUGUCAAGCAACGUGUCAAAAAUCAGUGUACAAAUAGCAAAGUUCAAUCAGUAAGAACCUUGUUACAUGUACACUAUAGUACACACUUUAGUUUACACUUUGUCACGUGACAUUACCCUGUUGGACAGAUUAAAUUUCAAACAAUUUUUCCAUCCAAUUGACACUUGACAACACUACAAAUGUCAAACAAUGUGUUAAAAAUCAUUGUACAAAUAGCAAUGUUCAAUUAGUAAGGACCUAGCUACAUGUACACUAUGGUGUACACUUUAGUUUACACAUUGCCAUAUGACAUUAUCCUGUUAGACAGUAUAAAUUUCGGACAGUUUUCCCAUCCAAUUCACACUUGACAACAAUGCAUGUGUCAAACAAUGUGUCAAAAAUUAGGGUACAAAUAGCAAAGUUCAAUCGGUAAGAUAUUUGCGACAUGUACACUACGGUGUACACUUUAGUUUACACUUUACCACGUGACAUUACCCUAUCGGACUGUUUGAAUUUUAAAAUAGUUUUCCCAUCCCGUUGACACUUAACAACAAUGCAAGUGUCAAACAAUGUGUUAAAAAUCAGUGUACAAAUAUCAAAGUUCAAUCGGUAAGAACCUUGCUGCAUGUACACUAUGGUGUCAACUUUAGUUUACACUUUGCCACGCGACAAUACCCUGUUAGACUGUUCAAAUUUCCAAUAGUUUUCCCAUCCAAUUGACACUUGACAACAAUGCAGUGUCAAACAAUGUAUCGAAAAUCAGUGCACAAAUAGCAAUGUUCAAUCAGUAAGAACCUUGGUACAUGGACACUACGGUGUAAACUUUAAUUUACCCUUUACCACGUGACACUACCCCGUUGGAAAAUUUAAAUUUCAAAUAGUUUUCCCAUCCAAUUGACACUUGACUACAAUGAAAGUGCCAAACAACGUGCCAAAACUCAGUGUACAAAUAGCAAUGUUCAAUCGGUAAGGACCUAGCUACAUGUACACUAUGGUGUACACUUUUGUUUACACUUUCCCACGUGUCAUUACCCUGUUUAACAGUAUAAAUUUCGAACAAUUUUCCCAUCUAAUUGACACUUGACAACAAUGCAAGUGUCAAAGAACGUGUCAAAAAUUAGUGUACAAAUAGCAAAGUUCAAUCGGUAAGAACCAUGGCAUAUGUACACGAUGGUGCACAUUUAAGUUUACACUUUGCCACAUGACAUUACCCUAUUGGACAUUUUAAAUUUCAAACAAUUUUCCCAUCCAAUUGACACUAGAUAAUGCAAGUGUCAAAGAUAGUGUCCAAAAUCUGUGUAAAAAUCGCAAAGUUCAAUCGGCAAGGACCUUGCUACAUUACACUAUGGUGUACACUUUAGUAUACACUUUGCCACGUGAUAUUACUCUGUUGGACAGUUUAAAUUUCAAAUAGUUUUCCCAUCCAAUUGAGAUUUGACAACAAUGCAAGUGUCAAACAACAUUUCAAAAAUCAGUGUGCAAAUAGCAAAGUUCACUCCAUGUGAACCAUGCUACAUGUACAUUGUGCUGUACACUUUAGUUUAAACUUCGCCACGUGACAUUACCCUACUGGACAGUUUAAAUUUCAAACAAUUUUCCCAUCCAAUUGACAUUUGACAACAAUGUAAGUGUCAAAAAAUGUGUCAAAAAUCAGUGUACAAAUAGUGUAGCUCAAUCGGUGAGAACCAUUCUACAUGUACACUAUGGUGUACACUUUAGUUUACACUUUGCCACGUGACAUUACCCUAUUGGACAGUUUAAAUUUCAAAUAGUUUUUCCAUCCAAUUGACACUAGACAACAAUACAAGUGUCAAUGUUCAAUCAGUAAGAACCUUGCUACAUGUACAUUAUGGCGUACACUUUAGUUUACACUUUGCCACAUGACAUUACCCCGUUAGACAAUUUGAAUUUCGAACAAUUUUUCCAUCCAAUUAACACUUGACAACAAUGCAAGUUCAAACAACGUAUCAAAAAUCAGUGUACAAAUAUCAAAGUUCAAUCGGUAUGAACCGUGGCACAUGUACACUAUGGUGCACACAUCAGUUUACACUUUGUCACAUGACAUUACCCUAUUGGAUAGUUUUUAAUUUCAAAUAGUUUUCCCAUUCAAUUGACACUAGAUAAUGCAAGUGUCAAAAAUAGUGUCCAAAAUCUGUGUAAAAAUCACAAAGUUAAAUCGACAAGGACCUUGCUACAUUACACUAUUGUGUACACUUUAGUAUACACUUUGCCACGUGACAUUACUCUGUUGGACAAUUUAAAUUUCAAAUAGUUUUUCUAUCCAAUUGACACCUGACAACAAUACAAGUGUCAAACAACAUUUCAAAAAUCAGUGUACAAAUAGCAAAGUUCACUCUGUGUGAACCAUGCUACAUGUACACUACGCAGUACACUUUAGUUUAAACUUUGGCACGUGACAUUACCCUACUAGACAGUUUAAAUUUCAAAUAGUUUUUCCAUCCAAUUAACACGUAAAAUAAUGCGAGUGUCAAAAAAAUGUGUCAAACAUUAGUGUAUAAAUAGUGUAGCUCAAUUGGUGAGAACCAUUCUACAUGUACACUAUGGUGUACACUUUAGUUUAUAUUUUACCACGUGACAUUACCCUAUUGGACAACUUAAAUUUCAAAUAGUUUUUCCAUCCAAUUGACACUAGAAAAUAAUGCAAGUGUCAAAGAACGUGUCAAAAAUUAGUGUGCAAGUGACCAAGUUCAAUCAGUAAGAACCUUGCUACAUGUAUAUAAUGGCAUACACUUUAGUUUACACUUUGCCACGUGACAUUACCCUGUUGGACAAUUUAAAUUUCGAACAAUUUUUCCAUCCAAUUAACACUUGACAACAAUGCAAGUGUCAAAGAACGUGUCAAAAAUCAGUGUACAAAUAGCAAAGUUCUAUCGGUAAGAACCAUGGAACAUGUACACUAUGGUGCACACAUCAGUUUACACUUUACCACAUGACAUUACCCGAUUGGAUAGUUUAAAUUUCAAAUAGUUUUCCCAUCCAAUUGACACUAGACAAUGCAAGUGUCAAAAAUAGUAUCCAAAAUCUGGGUAAAAAUCGCAAAGUUCAAUUGGCAAGGACCUUGCUACAUUACACUAUAGUGUACACUUUAGUAUACACUUUGCCACGUGACAUUACUCUAUUGGACAAUUUAAAUUUCAAAUAGUUUUCCCAUCCAAUUGACGCUUGACAACAAUGCAAGGGUCAAACAUCAUUUCAAAAAUCAUUGAACAAAUAGCAAAGUUCACUCUGUGUGAACCAUGCUACAUGUACACUAUGCUGUACACUUUAGUUUAAACUUUGCCAUGUGACAUUACCCUGCGGGACAGUUUAAAUUUCAAACAGUUUUCCCAUUCAAUUGACACUUAACAACAAUACAAGUAUCAAAAAAUGUGUCAAAAAUCAGUGUACAAAUAGUGUAGCUCAAUCGGUGAGAACCAUUCUACAUGUACACUAUGGUGUACACUUUAGUUUACACUUUACCACGUGACAUUACCCUAUUGGACAGUUUAAAUUUCAAAUAGUUUUUCCAUCCAAUUGACACUAGACAACAAUGCAAGUGUCAAAGAACGUGUCAAAAACCAGUGUGCAAGUAGCAAAAUUCAAUCAGUAAGAACCUUGCUGCAUAUACAUUAUGGUGUACACUUUUGUUUACCCUUUGCUACGUGACAUUAUCUUGUUGGACAGUUUAGAUUUCAAGCAGUUUUCCCAUCCAAUUGUCACUUGACGACAAUGCAAGUGUCAAACAACGUGCCCAAAAUUAGUGUACAAAUAGCAAAGUUCAAUCGGUAAGAACCAUGCUACAUAUGCACUAUGGUGUACACUUUAGCUUACACUUUGCCACGUGACAAUACCCUGUUGUGAAUAGUUUAAAUUUCAAAUAGUUUUCCCAUCCAAUUGACACUUGACAACAAUGCAAGUGUCAAACAAUGUGUCAAAAAUCGGUGUACAAAUAGCAAAGUUCAAUCGGUAAGGACCUUACUACACGUACACUAUUGUGUACACUUUAGUUUGCACUUUGCCACGUGACUUUACCACGUUAAACAGGGUAAAUUUCAAAUAGUUUUCCCAUCCAAUCAACACUUGACAACAAUGCAGGUGUCAAACAAUGUGUCAAAAAUUAGUGUACAAAUAGCAAAGUUCAAUUGGUAAGAACCUUGGUACAUGUACACUAUGGUGUACACUUUAGUUUGCACUCUGCCACUUGACAUUACCCCGUUAGACAGUAUAAAUUUCAAACAGUUUUCCCAUCCAAUUGACACCUGAAAAAAAUUCAAGUGCCAAGCAACGUGUCAAAAAUCAGUGUACAAAUAGCAAAAUUCAAUCAGUAAGAACCUUGGUACAUGUACACUAUGGUAUACACUUUAGUUUACCCUUCCCCCCCUGAUAUUACCCUGUUGAACAGAUUAAAUUUCAAACAGUUUUCUCAUUCAAUUGACACUUAACAACAAUGCAAGUGUCAAACAACAUGUUAAAAAUCAGUGUACAAAUAGCAAUGUUCAAUCAGUAAGGACCUAGCUACAUGUACACUAUGGUGUACACUUUAGUUUACAUUUUGCCACGUGACAUUACCCUGUUAGAUAGUAUAAAUUUCGGACAAUUUUCCCAUCUAAUUGACACUUGACAACAAUGCAUGUGUCAAACAAUGGAUCCAAAAUCAAGGUACAAAUAGCAAAGUUCAAUCGUUAAGAACCUUGCUACAUGUACACUACGGUGUACACUUUGGUUUACACUUUGCCACGUGACAUUACCUUGUUGGAUAGUUUAAAUUUCAAAGAGUUUUCCCAUCCAAUUGACACUUGACAACAAUGCAAGUGUCAAUCAACAUGUCAAAAAUCAAUGUACAAAUAGCAAUGUUCAAGCGGUAAGGACCUUGCUACAUGUACACUAUGGUGUGCACUUUCAUUUACACUUUACCACGUGACAUGACCCUAUUCGAUAGCAUAAAUUUCGAACAGUUUUCGAUCCAAUUAAUACUUGACAACGAUGCAAGUGUCAAACAAGGUGUCAAAAAUCAGUGUACAAAGAGCAAAGUUCAAUCGGUAAGAACCCUGCAACAUGUACACUAUGCUGUGCACCUUAGUUCACACUUUGCCACGUGACAUUACCAUGUUGGACAGUUCAAAUCACAAAUAGUUUUCCCAUCGAACUGACACAUAACAACAAUGCAAGUGUCAAAAAACGUGUCAAAAAUCAGUAUACAAUAGCUAUCUGUCCCACUUGUGUCUCCAAGUUCUUGAUCGCUGCACUUUGAUCUUGAAGCGUUGUUUCCGUCCUUCGUAUAAAUUGGUUAUUGGCUUCCAUGUACUGAUUGGUGUGUGCCAUAAAUUUCUCGAACAUAUCCUCCAAAUUUAGCUUUUUGUCUUGCUGUUGAUAUUGCCCUUGUGGUCUAUUUUGAUUCUGGUUGCUCCAAGAGAAAUUUGGGUGUUUUCUCCAGCCUUGAUUGAAGGUUUCUGAAUGUGGGUUAUUCUGCUGGCGCUGACCCCAUUGUACGAAUUCUGCAUGUUCUACUCCUUGUGCCAGAAUUGGGCAAGUAGCAGUACUGCGAUCUGCUCCACAUUCUUCACAACUCUGCUUCAUAACUUGCUUAGUAGUGGCGGUUUGUGAAAUCUUUCAACCUUAUGGAAUAAGGAAUCUAUUUUUGCCGACAGUGCUGAGUAAGUAUCUACUUCAUACACCCCAGGUGCUCUCUUCUGAACUACUCGAUCUGUAGACCACAUAGCUGAAGAUGUAGCCAUCCUUUCAAACAACUCCCAGGCUCCGUCAAUUGUUCUUGUAGAGAUAGACCCGUCAGAUGAUGCAUCCACCAUACUCUUGAAUGAUGGGAGUAAUCCAGUGUAGAAAAAUUUGAUCUGGGUCUUCUUGUCAAAGCCAUGUUGCGGGCACUUCCUUAACAUGUUCUUGAAAUGGUUCCAUGCCUCUUCAAAUGACUCUGACUCGAUCUGGUUGAAUAUUGAGAUGUCAUACCGCAUUUUAGCUACUUUAGCUGGUGAGAAGAACUUGGUGCAGAAUUUAUGAGCUAGCUCGUUCCAAGUGGUGAUGCUUCUGACAGGGAGUGAAUCCAGCCAUUCGAGUGCUUUAUCCCUUAAGGUGUGCGGGAAUAAGCGUAGUCUUAUAGCAUCAUCCGAGAUACCUUGGUAUCUGAAGUGUUGACACAUAUCAAGAAAUCGAGAUAUGUGUGUAUGUGGAUUCUCACUAGCCAUCCCAUGGUAUUGAUGCCCAUUCUGAAACAGUUGAAUCACGUUUGUCUUCAGUUGGAAGUUCGGUUGCCCAAAUGGAGGAUAUACAAUACUAGAUUGACUUUGCACCACCAAUGGUGCCAUGAAAUCCCCAAGUACCGUAUUUCCAUCCUCUUCCAUUGCCACACCUUCGUUGAGUGGAAUUCCCGGUCGAUUUUGCUCGUUAGCCAUUUGUUGUACCACUCUUGCUUCCCUUUGCCUAUGACGGAAUGUGCGUUCAAUCUUUGGAUCUAUAGGGACCAAGUCUUGAUCAGGUGCUCCUUGCAUGCAAGCCCUGAUAUGGCAAAAUUAACACAAAAAGUCAAUAUAAACAAUAAUUAAAUAAAUCUAAUAAAAUUAACAAGUACUAAAAUGAAUAAGUUCGAAUUAGUGUCACAAAAGAUAGAAUUAAAUCUAAAAUUUAAUCCCCGGCGACGGCGCCAAAAACUUGUUCGCGUAUUUAUUUAUUUGUUUCAAUUUUAAAACCCCCCGCAAGUGUACGGUUCGUUAACAAGUAGUAAAAUGGACUAUGAAUCCAAGUAUCGUUCCCGCAAGGAUUGAAUUAGCUCUAAUUAGACUAAUGUGACCUUAACCGAAUCUAAUUGAAUGAAAAUUUGGUUUAAAUGUGAAAAGCCCUAAUUUUGGAAGAAAUCCCCAAUUUGAAACCCUAAUUGCAAAGAAAACCCUAAUUUCGAAAUUUCACUAAUCGAAUGAAUUAAACACGCAACUGAAAUGUAAAUAUGCAAUUUUAGAACUAAUGUAUUGGAAUGAAUCGAAAUGAAAUCAUUAAGAACUCGAAACCCCAAUUGACUAUUAAAAAUCCUAAUUUCACAAAUUCAACGAAUCGAUGGAACAAAAUGCCAAUUCAAUGUUCCUAAAUUAUCCAAUACACUCUCUCGAUAUAUAUUGAAUCUACUCUUACACACCACCAGCCUAUAUUUCUAUGGAUGAUGCAAUGUACAAGAAUGCAUGACUUUUUAUGAACAUCUUCAUGAAUUGCAUAAAGCAUAGAGGUAAGUUUCCAUCCCCUAUCGGACCCUAUGUCAAUUUAUAUUCUAUCGAAUUUAUUCCCCUUCUUUCGAAUGUAAAGAUCAAAUCAUCUACAAUCACAUAACAAUUGGCCAAAUAAUUAUGGAAGCUUUCAAAUCAUAUAAAUCAAACAUUUGUCCAAUCGAAACUAUUGUUGAAUUAAUGAAAUAAUGGAAAUUUAAAUCAUCAAAAGGUUCAUCAAAUUCCUAAUGAACAAAAACCCUAGCCUAUAAUCAUCAUUACAAAAUCAAGAAACUGAAAAACGAAAUUAAAAGAUAAUAAGAAUACACCCGUAUGGAAUUUCUUCAAUCCGUGUGUAUAAUCUUCAAUCCCGUCUCGAACCCGUGCGAAAUUGAAUCCAAAAUCAAGUUUCUUGCCUCCAAUUUUGGUCUCUCCCUUCUCCCUGGUCGUUCCCCCUCUUCAUAUGAUGAAUUUGGGUAUUUAUAUCACGUCCAAAUUAAGUAGGAAAGGAGUUUCAAACAAAACGAAAAACUACGCCCGAAGUUGCAAAACAUAACUAUGCGACCGCAUAGAAGGGAUCUAUGCGGUCGCAUAGAUCAUUUAUUUUGACCAGUGAAUUCCCUAAAACCUUCUAUGCGACCGCAUAGAAGGUUACACUAUGCGGUCGCAUAAAAGUAGCCAUCUAUGUGGUUUGUGCAAUUUGGUCCCUGAACUUCUUUGUUGCUUCUCUUGACUUCUUUCUUCGAUUUCUUCAUCUUUUCAAUAAUUCUUAUCUUCCAAUUGAUGAUCGACACUUUCAAAUAUUAUGCCACUCAUUCGUCAUAUCUUUUGAGUAUUUGCACUUUAGUCCUCCAACUUUCAAUUAUCUUCAUUUUAGUCCAUCUUCCAUUCUUUCUACCUCCACUUGUUUUGCUUUGUC
rnacentral:lncRNA from 1 species